GAUGAACGCUAGCUACAGGCUUAACACAUGCAAGUCGAGGGGCAGCAUGAACUUAGCUUGCUAAGUUUGAUGGCGACCGGCGCACGGGUGAGUAACACGUAUCCAACCUUCCGUUUACUCAGGGAUAGCCUUUCGAAAGAAAGAUUAAUACCUGAUAGUAUGGUGAGAUUGCAUGAUAGCACCAUUAAAGAUUUAUUGGUAAACGAUGGGGAUGCGUUCCAUUAGGUAGUAGGCGGGGUAACGGCCCACCUAGCCGACGAUGGAUAGGGGUUCUGAGAGGAAGGUCCCCCACAUUGGAACUGAGACACGGUCCAAGCUCCUACGGGAGGCAGCAGUGAGGAAUAUUGGUCAAUGGGCGAGAGCCUGAACCAGCCAAGUAGCGUGAAGGAUGAAGGUCCUACGGAUUGUAAACUUCUUUUAUACGGGAAUAAAGUAUCCUACGUGUAGGAUUUUGUAUGUACCGUAUGAAUAAGCAUCGGCUAACUCCGUGCCAGCAGCCG
rnacentral:rRNA from 1 species